rnacentral:rRNA from 1 species
UACGUAGGGUGCGAGCGUUGUCCGGAAUUAUUGGGCGUAAAGGGCUCGUAGGCGGUUUGUCGCGUCGGGAGUGAAAUCCACUGGCUUAACUGGUGGCUUGCUUUCGAUACGGGCAGACUGGAGGUAUGCAGGGGAGAGCGGAAUUCCUGGUGUAGCGGUGAAAUGCGCAGAUAUCAGGAGGAACACCGGUGGCGAAGGCGCCGCUCUGGGCCGAAACUGACGCUGAGGAGCGAAAGCAUGGGUAGCAAACAGG